rfam:Camelus ferus unplaced genomic scaffold scaffold322, whole genome shotgun sequence.
GAGGGUAUAGCUCAGUGGUAGAGUACACGUCUAGCAUGCACGAAGUCCUGGGUUCAAUUCCCUGUACCUCCA